GAUUGAGUUUGAUCCUGGCUCAGGAUGAACGCUGGCGGCGUGCUUAACACAUGCAAGUCGAACGGAGAUAUCAUUUUCGAAGCGAUUAGUUUACUAAGAGUGGAGAUGUUGGUAUCUUAGUGGCGGACGGGUGAGUAACGCGUGGGUAACCUGCCUUACACUGGGGGAUAACACUUAGAAAUAGGUGCUAAUACCGCAUAACAGGGAAAGAUGCAUGUCUUUUCCUUGAAAACUCCGGUGGUGUAAGAUGGACCCGCGUCUGAUUAGCUGGUUGGCGGGGUAACGGCCCACCAAGGCGACGAUCAGUAGCCGGCCUGAGAGGGUGAGCGGCCACAUUGGGACUGAGACACGGCCCAAACUCCUACGGGAGGCAGCAGUGGGGAAUAUUGGACAAUGGGGGGAACCCUGAUCCAGCGACGCCCGCGUGAGUGAAGAAGUAUUUCGGUAUGUAAAGCUCUAUCAGCAGGGAAGAAAGAAAUGACGGUACCUGACUAAGAAGCUCCGGCUAACUACGUGCCAGCAGCCGCGGUAAUACGUAAGGGGGCAGCGUUUACCCGGAUUAAUGGGUGUAAAGGGAGCGUAAACGGCGAUGCAAUUCUG
rnacentral:rRNA from 1 species